ACGUGUUCCACGGGUCAGUAGGUGUGAACAUCAAUCUAUUUGAAUACGCGUUUGGAUCUUAUCUGUCUUUCUCUUCCUCUGACUAUAUAAACAUCUAUUUGCAUAAAGACACCCAACAAAAGUAAUCGACGACGCCAAAACCCUCUCAAGUUAUAGCCAUUAAACACUCAGAAAAGGAGAAGAGAAAAGGAUUUCAGUCCACCUAGAUUCAGGUAAAAUUAAAAAGAAAAUGGGUCAUCAUCAUGAUUAUCACCACCAUCAUCAUCACCAUGAUGAUCCAUGCUUGGCUCUCUGCUGUUGCCCCUGUUUACUUGUCUCCUCUAUAAUAAGUGGGAUAGGGAGGUGUUUGUUUAUGGCUUGUUACCCUCUUCUUCAUUGUCUUGGAUUGGAUGAUCAUCACCAUCAUCAUCACCACCAUUGUUGAUUGCUGUAGCCUGUAAAUCCCCAUAUUUCUUUCUAUCAUUUUGCUGGGAUUUGGAAAGAUUAUGCUUUUGGUUAAGAUUUUCCUAUUUGUCUUGUAUGUUGGCAUUGUUGUAUUAUAUCUUUGUUGUUGUUGUUUUGACUUAAAUUGAUUGAAACCAUUGAGAAAUUUGAAGUAAUUUUGCAUACAA